GGGACGUACAGUAAUGACAUGAACUAGUGAGUAAUCUCUUUAUUUUGCAAUAUCACCUAGGGAUAGGGAUAGGACGAUCAAUUGCGCUAACUUUUGUUUAUAAUGCGGUAUUAAUUACUAGGGGAGGCUAGGGAUAGCAAGCCAGUAGUUAAUAUUAGGCCCUUUUCGCCGAGGGGUCGGGUUAAGGGGAGGCUAAGAAAGUCGCAUAACAAUUGAAUCAAUNAACUAAUAUUNAAGGGUAGUAUGUAAGAGAGAGNGGAAUAGAUGAAAUUGUUAGUACCCAACAACAUUCAUUCAUCCAUUGUUUUCGUUUGUCAAUUGAAUCAACUCUAUUUUGCAUGUUAAUAUUUUUAUCCACAAAUACAAUUUAUUAAAUUUUAUUUCUCAAGUCUUAUUAUUUUAAUUCGCACGAACGAGGAAGCCAUAC
rnacentral:lncRNA from 1 species